rnacentral:rRNA from 1 species
GAUGAACGCUAGCUACAGGCCUAACACAUGCGAGUCGAGGGGCAGCACUGAGGAAGCUUGCUUUCUCUGGUGGCGACCGGCGAAUGGGUGAGCAACGCGUAUCCAACCUGCCCUCCGCGCGGGGAUAGCCCUUGGAAAUGAGGAUUAACACCCGAUACGCCGUAUUCCCGCAUGGGUAUUCGGUGAAGUUUGCGGAGGAUGGGGAUGGGUUGGAUUAGCUUGCUGGUGAGGUAACGGCUCACCAGGGCUCCGAUCCAUAGGGGUUCUGAGUGGAAGGCCCCCCACACUGGCACGGAGACACGGGCCAGACUCCUACGGGAGGCAGCAGUGAGGAAUAUUGGUCAAUGUGCGGAUGCCUGAACCAGCCAAGUAGCGUGCAGGAUGACGGCCCUACGGGUUGUAAACUGCUUUUGCGGGAGGAUAAAUUCGCCCACGUGUGGGCGCUUGCAGGUAUCCCGCGAAUAAGGACCGGCUAAUUCCGUGCCAGCAGCCGCCGUAACAC